AGUCUUGAGAUGCAGCAUUUAAAGGAGGACCUAGAUGAAGUAGCGCAUAAAUUCUAGAGAUGAUUUAAAAAUAAAUAAGAUGCAAUCAAGGCUUGAUCAAAAGUCAGCACAAAUGACAAGGCCCUAACGCAAAAAUUUCCCUUUUGGUUUAUGCAUAAAAGAAAACUCCCCCAUCCCCAAAGUUAUCUGUCGCGAAUCAAAAAAGAAAAAAAAAAGUUUUCCUCCUUUCUUCCUCUGCCAGGGCACAAAAGGGCUACCCCCGAUCGGCCAUGCGUUUGCCAAAGGUGAUGGCCGAUUUCGACGCCUUUUGGGCUUCUCAUUCCGGCGAAGGAGACAAAGCUCCGACAAUGAGCGCUUGGGUCGAUCAAGAUCGUGAAGACGUGGACGGGCGCUCGAAUGUGGGGCGCGCGACGUGCGGGCCUGGGGUCGUGCUUGGCGUGCUGACAUGGGACGAACGAAGACUGCGGCGCAAAGGGGUAGCCUAAGGUUUGUUGUUUUUUGAUUGCUUAGGUUAGACCAUGGGUAUUGGGCUUAUGUAAACGGGCCAAAAUUAUUUGGGUUGUUUUAUGUAAUUGGGUUGGCUUUAUGCUUUUAUAUGUGUAGGGGCCGAAAUUGGGUAUUUGGUUUAUUUGGGUUUGUUGGGCCUGGGCGAAAAUUGGGCCCUACAAUUGUUUAUAUUAAUAUAUAUUUAAUGGCUGAAAGCUUUUUACAUAGAACAAA